rnacentral:ncRNA from 1 species
UUUACGGUUCUUUUUCCUAUGGAAUUGGAUUAAAAGGGAAUCAGGUGCAAAUCCUGAACAGACCCGCUACUGUAAAUUUCGGUUAAUGAUAAUAACAAUAGUGCCAUUGUGAGAUAUAAUCUAGAAUAUAUUGACGAGAAGGCGUUAUUAUCAAUGAAAUAAGUCAGGAGACCUGCCGUCAGUGUUU